UUUUAAUAUAUGUGAACAUCUAAUUAUAGCUAAAGAUAAUUUGUGCUACAAUUAUCCUGCCUUCCUGCUAGGUCCUAGGCAGACGAACAAUCCCAGGAAAAAUCUGAACCCUGGGUCUUCUGUACUUCACUACACCCAGACUGAUCUUCUGCCCUGCUCCUGGAAAUCCAAGGGCAAAAAAGGGUGUCCUGCUGCUCUCCAUACAUGAGAGAAGCCCUUGUUUAUAAGGAGCUGAUUAGUCAUUUGACAAAUUUCCAGGCAGAAUGAAAAGUAUGAAAUAAGGAAUGUCAACAAAUUUCACAAGGCUUCAUGUUUGCAUCACUGAUGAAACAGAAAAAGAAAAGCAUAGCAUGAUAAGGACUAAAAGUGAGCAGAAGAGGGUGUGACUGUGAAGGAGG
rnacentral:lncRNA from 1 species